rnacentral:rRNA from 1 species
GACGAACCGUGCGAACGUUGUUCGGAUUCACUGGGCUUAAAGGGCGCGUAGGCGGCUUGCCAAGUCAGGGGUGAAAUCUUUCGGCUCAACCGGAAAACAGCUUCUGAUACUGGCGGGCUUGAGGGAGGUAGGGGCGGAUGGAACUUCCGGUGGAGCGGUGAAAUGCGUAGAUAUCGGAAGGAACGCCGGUGGCGAAAGCGGCGUUCUGGACUGCAACUGACACUGAGGAACGAAAGCCAGGGGAGCAAACGGG